CUCGGAGCGAGCCCGCCCAGCUCCCGCCCCGCCCGCCCACACCCCGGCUCGGAACUCGCUCAGCAGCCGCCUCCGAGCGGCUCCACCCCCCUAGAGCCGUUUCGAACCUCGUUCGGUGCCCGCCUCCAAGCGGUCCCGCUCGGCCCCCCCGGUCCGCCCCUCCGGCUCAGAGCACGGCCAGCCCGCCCCCGCCCCCGAGCUGGUCCGCACUUCAGUCUCGCCACACCUCAGCCCACAGACACCGCUUGCCGCCUUUCCCUCAGAGCACACAGAUUCUUCUCACGCGCUGAGAUCACCUGUUGCUUACCUGUCCGCUCGUGCGGCUUAUAUAGGUGUCCCGGCCGCCCGCCAGCCAAUAGGAGCCCAGAACGCCGGUUUCUUUUCCCACCGCUUUUGCUUCCCGCCGAUUUCGGUUCCCGCCUCACCGCUCGCGCCCUUUUUGCUGAAGGCGACCGGGGCGGGGUCAACUGAGGGUCACGGGCUCCUCGCUGCGCUGCCGCCUUUACCCUCAAGGCAGAGCCGCCUCACAGGUGGUCGCUGUGAGGCCACAGCGUUCUGGUGGAGCUGCGUGUGGGGCACUCAUUUCUUCAGUUUCCAUUCUCAUCUUCUAGGUUUGUUCCUGAAGGUCAGAACUAUAUUAUGCUCUUCAGUGAUGACUCCCAUCAUUCUUGAAGAUCUUCUGAGAAGGAAUACAAAAAAAGUGAUACUCCCUGCUGCAAGGAAGCAGCAAAUCCAUCCCACUUUGGAGAUAAUGACGCUGACUGAGCUAUUGCUGAUCACAGAAAAGUCAUCCAGAUGCCCCUGUUUGGAGACUUGUGUUUCAUUAAAACCAAAGGCGCCAGGGAGGAACGGCAGUGAUACUCCUGGAGAUGUGGGUUUUCUGCAGAGGUCCUACUGUCUUUACAGAACAUAACAGAAAAUAAUAUAAAUAGUUUCAAAAAACUGCUGUUAUGAUCUUCCUCUCAUUUUGACUCUUAAGGACUAACUUUUACAAAUUUGUGCUGCACAAAUUAAAAAAAAAUAUUCUUAGGGUUAUUACAUGUAUAAAUCUAGGAAGUCUCAACACUCCCUGAAAAACUUUGUAAGACUUAUGACUUUCUAGGGACUUUUUUUUUUUUGGAAAGAUUUCCAACAGUAGAAUAAACUGAAUGCUCAGUAGAUAAGUCUUUCUUGA
rnacentral:lncRNA from 1 species